rnacentral:lncRNA from 1 species
ACCUAAUUUUUGGGGGGAUUCUAGUGUUUAAAUAUUUCUAAAAUAAUUACCUCUGGGCCAGAUCCUCUGCUCUUCUUUGUCCUAUUUCUGCAACUCCUGUGUUAACUUAAGGCAGCAGGCUCCUACCUCAGCCUGGAAACAGAAGUUAAGACCCUUGUCUUUUCCUACCUGCAUGCUAGCCAAGCCGUUCCAGGGUACUCCUUUUCUGAGUGAUGAGUUGAGGAAGAGGAGAGCAGGUAUGUUGGAAAGACACUGUCAUGUACUCACUUUUGCGUCCACAUCUGUAACAAAUAUGGCAGCAUCCUGGCUUUGCUGACAGUGGAUCUACCCAACUGAGAAGCUGGAAUUAAGUGUUUCAACCAGACUGUUCCUGUUCCUGUUUCAGUUCUUACACCACCUGCAUCAUCGUAUUAGUUGGGCACCUUUCAG